AGCUCAUCCAGAAUGUCCAUCAAAAGUGUAAGUUCAUAUUUUGUCAUACAUUAUUGUUCUUCUGAUUUGUCCCACAUUCCUUUUCGAUUAUCUUCACAGCAGAUUUGAAACCAUGUGUUUGUAUGUUACGUUUCGUGAACAGGUCAGAUGACGCUGAAGCAGAUGACGACAAACGAAAGUAGGAGAUAAAAGCAGCACUGAACACAUCAACAGCUAUAUAUGUGUUUCUCAAUAAUUUUGUGUAUGUGAGAUCAGGAACUAUGGAGGCAUCUAUGUGGGCUUACCUACAGACGUAAGCAACAUUCCCACAGUGCAGAUUGGAUCUCUCAGAGAGAGCGAGCGAGACUCGGCGUCCCUGAGGAAGCCACUAUGGGGAAAUCGACAAUAAUUUUAAUGAACCUGGUUUUAUGCUUUAAACAAAGCCACCUGCCAAGCUUCAAAUACAAAGCACCCAGCUCCCACUGUGAUGGGAUAGCCUUCACCAGUCCCACCAUGCACCCAGGGGUGACUGAACCAAGACAGUUCCUGCCUGGACAUGGUCGAUGUGGUUGAAAUUAAACUGCCACAGCAGCAAUUCAACAAUGAUAGAUACAUAAAAUACCAAAAUGACCCUGUUGACAACAAGGUCUAUGAUGAAAAGUGCACGAUACAUACUGUGAAAUAUGGAGGUAGUUCGCUGAUGCCACUGGCUCUAGCAGAAUAAAGUGAAGGUCCUGUUAGUGGCCAUCUCAGUCUCCUGACCGUAGUAUCAUUGAACCACUGUGGGGAGAGCUCAAACGUGCAGUUCAUGCAAAACAGCCCAGGAAUUUACAGGAACAGGAGGCUUUUUCCCAAGAAGAAUGGACCACUUUACCAUUAAAUUAUAUACAGAA
ensembl:lncRNA